rnacentral:rRNA from 1 species
ACCUCCCACCCGUGUUUAUUUUACCUUGUUGCUUCGGCGAGCCUGCCUUUUGGCUGCCGGGGGACAUCUGUCCCCGGGUCCGCGCUCGCCGAAGACACCUUAGAACUCUGUCUGAAGAUUGUAGUCUGAGAUUAAAUAUAAAUUAUUUAAAACUUUCAACAACGGAUCUCUUGGUUCCGGCAUCGAUGAAGAACGCAGCGAAAUGCGAUACGUAAUGUGAAUUGCAGAAUUCAGUGAAUCAUCGAGUCUUUGAACGCACAUUGCGCCCUCUGGUAUUCCGGAGGGCAUGCCUGUCCGAGCGUCAUUGCUGCCCUCAAGCACGGCUUGUGUGUUGGGCUCCGUCCUCCUUCCGGGGGACGGGCCCGAAAGGCAGCGGCGGCACCGCGUCCGGUCCUCAAGCGUAUGGGGCUUUGUCACCCGCUUUGUAGGACUGGCCGGCGCCUGCCGAUCAACCAAACUUUUUUCCAGGUUGACCUCGGAUCAGGUAGGGAUACCCGCUGAACUUAAGCAUAUCAAUAAGCGGAAGGAUCAUUACCGAGUGAGGGCCCUCUGGGUCAACCUCCCACCGUGUUUAUUUUACCUUGUUGCUUCGGCGAGCCUGCCUUUUGGCUGCCGGGGG